GGGGGCGUUAUGGCAGUCGGAUUCCUCCUGGUGUUCCUGUGGGUGAGCUCCCAUGGAUACCCCGCUGCUGUUGUGGAAGCAGAAGGAAGGACAGACCUGGUGCCAGGAAAUCCGUGGUCACUGACUCAGGCAUGUAGAUGGGGCCAUUCCUCUGCUACCAGAUAAGCCAAGCUAAAAAUAGAAUCUCACUGGAAAGAGGACAUGAGACUUCAUCUGGGGGACAGCCACCCUGCCUCAGAGCCAUCUAGCCCAGUAUCCAGACCCCUCCCUGCUGCCCCAGAUCUGUCCCAUAAGCCUGGAAGUAAAUGGAAGCUGCCUGUAAUAUUUUCAUGACUAUUCUAUAUUGUCUAUUUUCCUGAUAGUUAUUAUGAUGUUUGCCCUAUGUCUAUGAUGACUGAUAGGAGCUCAGAUACUCCAGUGAUGAACGUAGUAAAAGGACAUAGAGAGAAUACAACAGGAUAGAACAGAAUACCCAUAUUUACCGAUCCUCACAAGAGAAUGCAGAAACCAACAACUGAGAAGAUUGUUCCCAACUAGAACCAGGCAAAAUUUUGUUCUGGUGAAAAAUGCAGACUCAGUCACACCAAAACUUUUGUGAAUUUGUGUUGAUUUUGUUGAAUUUUUCAUGUUGUGGGGGGAACCUCCCCAAAUUCUGAAAAGAAUCAAAAUGUUCCAUUGUGACAUUUGCCAAAAGAAAAGUUUAGAUGUUUCUGUGUUUUUGUUUAGAAAUGUAGUUUAAUUUUUUUUGAGGGUAUGAAAAAAAUGUUUUACAAAGUCCUCAAAAUUGAAAUGAAAUAUUUCUUUCAAGCCAAAAUAAUUCCCCCCCCCCACUUUUUAGGGCUCUGAAAAUUUCAACAUUGUUUUGUUUUCGGUUCAUCAAAAAUUGCAUUUUUUUCCCCCACCUCAUUGUGGCCCAAAAAUUUCAAAACAAUUUUUUUUGCUUCAGUCUGAAAUGAAGUGUGCUGAAAAGUAAGAAAACCAUUGCUUUUGGUUCGACCCAAAAUGAUUUUUCCCCCCAGAUUUUCGGUACGCUGAAAAAUUCAACAAAUUUUACUUUUGGUUUCAAUUGAACCAAUUUUUUGUUUUGACAUUAUGAUUUCUGGAAAAUUUUGAAAAAAAACCACCCUUUUUCUUUCAGAUCAAAAUUAAUUUUUUUUUUAAUUUG
rnacentral:lncRNA from 1 species